rnacentral:rRNA from 1 species
UACGGAGGGGGCUAGCGUUGUUCGGAAUUACUGGGCGUAAAGGGCGCGUAGGCGGCGAUCCAAGUUAGGCGUGAAAGGCCUGGGCUCAACCCGGGAACUGCGCUUGAUACUGGAUUGCUUGAGUCCGGGAGAGGAUGGCGGAAUUCCCAGUGUAGAGGUGAAAUUCGUAGAUAUCUGGAGGAACACCGGUGGCGAAGGCGGCAUCCUGGACCAAUACUGACGCUGAGGAGCGAAAGCCAGGGGAGCAAACAGG